GCCUCGGUAGCUCAGCCUGGUAGAGCGGCAGUUUCGUAAACUGCAGGUCGGGGGUUCGAUCCCCUCCCGGGGCU
rnacentral:tRNA from 1 species